CUGUUACUCAAACCGAAAGUAAAAUAUUUCGCGGCAGUGAGAGUAGGUACUAGUGAGCUCCUUUUUUCACACGUGAGCAGACAUGGUGGAUGUGCUGCUGCUUGGGACUCUGGAAGACUUGGGCAAAGAUGACUUUCGGGAUUUUAAGUGGUACCUCAAUCAAAAGAACUUGGAUGGCUGCAAACCAAUUGCUGUUUGCAAACUGGAGGACGCAAGCAGGACGAAAACUGUGACAGAGAUGACCAGCAGCUACGGUGAAGAAAUGGCCAUGAAGGUGGCUGUUGAGAUUCUGAAGAAGAUGAAGAACAUGAAGGCUGCAGCGGAGUUGACGAAGAAAUAUGCAGGUGCAGUGGAUGUGUCUUAAAUGCACUUAUAAUAUAAGCAAAAUAAGUGACUUCACGGUUUUCUGAGAUGAUCAGAGCUGCAUCCUCCUCCUCCUCCUCCUCCUCUGCUGCUGCUGCUUCACCUCCAGCUGCUUCACCUCCAGCUGCUUCACCUCCAGCUGCUUCACCUCCAGCUGCUUCACCUCCAGCUGCCAACACGAUGUCGGCUCAAAACGAGAGUGUGAUCGUCGCUCCGACAGUCACAGGCUCAUCUCACACGUUCAACAUAACCAUCAAUAAAUGAGCACAAUAAGACAGCACAAUAAGAAAUACGGGAAUACAUAUAUAUAUAUAUUUUGAUAUUGAGUGACUUUUACUAUAGUCCAUGAAACCAUUACAUGUUCCUGGUCAAAUUGACAUCUUUACCCGUUAGAGUCCUCCAACAGUGAAAGCCAAUUUUCUUUAAGUCUCAAUAUUUAACAUUAAUAAGCAGUACACACAUGAUUAAUUACACAAUUACAAUACAUGCUUUGAUAUAUAACCCUGUGUUAUAGUUUUAAGCAGAUAUAAGGAACUUUUUGAUGUCUAAUAAUGCUCACCCUAUGAACACACAUUUUCUAAUAAUACAACAGUUUUUUAUGGUGACUGAGAGGUACACACGGGCCAAAAAAUGUCCAUUAGGAGACAAGCGCUGAAGUUUAAAAAAAAAUAAGAAAACACAAAUGUGCCAAAAUUAAGAAACAUCUUCACCAACUUGAAGAAACAUGCGCAGGGUUUACUAAAAGUGUUGCACAAAUUAAACUCUGCAAAGCUGCAAGAAGCUCAAAACACAACAGAAAUGGGGACACUAAAAAGUGACGCACACAGCUGGGACCGGAGCGCUUGUUGAUGUUCGGGGAUUAUAAAGUGAGCCCACUGUCGCUCUUGUUGGAAACUCACCUAAAAUGUAUGUUUUUUCAGCUUAUUUAAACAAUGUGAUCGCAUGAUUCUUUCUGAUAUUAUGGCAGAUCUGCUGUAAGCUAGCUAGCUAACGUAGCUAACCUAGUCAUUUUCAAAUAUACUAACAAAACACUAACAAUUAUGAAACAACGUCAACAAGCGCAACAAGUGUCCCCUGCUUUCUAUUGUGCUUUGAGAUUGAGUUAUAAAGCAAUAAUUCAAUGUCAACAUAAUGCUUUUCAUUCCUUUGUUUGUUGUUGUAAAGACCAGAGCAAAUCCAAGACUCAUGAUAACCAAAGAUGUGACAAUGACAUGACACAAUAUCUGACAUUUGAGACAAAGUAUCCAUUUAAAAAUAUGCUAUAACAAACUUUAUUCCAAAUAAACAACAACAACAACA